UUACGGCCAUAAUAACGUUGAAACACCGGUUUCCGUAUGAUCAUUGAAGUUAAGCAACCUUGAAGUCGGCCAGUACUUAGAUGGGUGAAACCUUUGGAAACCCAGAUGCUGUAAG